rnacentral:rRNA from 1 species
UACGGAGGGCGCAAGCGUUGUUCGGAAUUACUGGGCGUAAAGGGCGCGUAGGCGGCCUGGUCAGUCGGGUGUGAAAGCCCGGGGCUCAACCCCGGAACGGCACCCGAGACGGUCAGGCUGGAGACCGGGAGAGGAGGGUGGAAUAGCCAGUGUAGAGGUGAAAUUCGUAGAUAUUGGCUGGAACACCGGUGGCGAAAGCGGCUCUCUGGCCCGGUUCUGACGCUGAGGCGCGAAAGCGUGGGGAGCAAACAGG